AUUGAACGCUGGCGGCAUGCCUUACACAUGCAAGUCGAACGGCAGCACGGGAGCUUGCUCCUGGUGGCGAGUGGCGAACGGGUGAGUAAUACAUCGGAACGUACCCAGUAGUGGGGGAUAGCGCACCGAAAGGUGCGCUACUACCGCCUACGACCUACGGGUGAAAGCGGGGGACCGUAAGGCCUCGCGCUAUUGGAGCGGCCGAUGCCUGAUUAGCUAGUUGGUGAGGUAAAGGCUAACAAAGGCAUCGAUCAGUAGCUGGUCUGAGAGGACGAUCAGCAACACUGGGACUGAGACACGGCCCAGACUCCUACGGGAGGCAGCAGUGGGGAAUUUUGGACAAGGGGCGAAAGCCUGAUCCAGCAAUGCCGCGUGUGCGAAGAAGGCCUUCGGGUUGUAAAGCACUUUUGUCAGGGAAGAAAUCUUUUAGGCUAAUACCCUGGAAGGAUGACGGUACCUGAAGAAUAAGCACCGGCUAACUACGUGCCAGCCGCCGCGGUAA
rnacentral:rRNA from 1 species